rnacentral:lncRNA from 1 species
CGUCUAAGACCUGAUUUAGCCUGACCUUAUGAAGAGCAGACUGUAACAUUUUGUCCAUUAACCUCACCACUGAGCCCACUGACUCAUUUAUGACUGAAACACCUCUUCCACACUUGGUCUGAAGAGACCAUGUGGUGGAUAAUCCAUCCUUUCCCUUAGUAGUGUCUUUUAGUCUCUCCAUUUAAAGAAGUAAUGGUCCUCCUGUCACGUACCUGAUCCGUGGUUCACUGUAGUUUGCAGCCUGCACACGAGAAGGCCAGGACCAGGCUGGAAGGAUGCUGUGGCGGAGGAAUCGG